GGGCACAUAAAAGAGGCAAAUGAACUGCCUUUCUCCAAUUUCAUUCCAAUCGUAUUCUCCACAGACCACACUCCAAUCCGAAAUUAAUCCCUAAAAACUACUACUCUACUAGUCUACCAUUGCAAAAGUUCCGGUGAAAUCCGCAAGUUGGGCCCCUUUGGUGCUUUCACACAGACAGUUUGCAAAUGGCAAUACCCUUGAAGCUGAUAUAAGGUCUUGCAAAUCCGCAGCCAGGUGGUAUUGACUCAUGGACCAGAGAACGUUAAACCACAAGUUAAAAAGACUGACGAAAUUGGGAAAAUUUUGCUUUGAGGUGUAUACAUCCAAUUUUCAUAAUUUCAUUGUUUCUGGAAUAUUUUCCUUGUGGCUUUAGACUUCUGAAUCAAAUGAUACUUGUCAUAUCAUUAUCAA